CCUUGAUGAAAUUCAGUCCUGCUCUUUGUGCCCCUGAUGUAUACUUACCAUUUAAUAUUCUAUUUAUAGCUGUAUAUGUUCUUUCUGGUGGAAUAUAAGCUCUUGAGAACAAGAUUGUUUAAUUUUUGGUUUUGUGUCCUUAGCACCUCUGUAUUUUUCACUAAGUAAAUACUUAAUGUUUGCCUAAUUGAAUUGGCAUCUUAUUCCCAUAACAUACUGUGCUGGGUAAACUCUUAUCUAAACUUUGGAUCUUCUCUAACACAGGGUUCUGCAUAGUCACUGUCGUUAUCCUUUGAUCACUUGAGUAUAACUGUGGGUGGGUGAGAAGCUAAUGUAUGCUCUGGUCAUUUAAUUUCUUACCAUUGUGUUCUUAGAGCCAGAGUAGUGUUGAGGGGGAGUUCAACUGAUAGCUGAUUGUUGUUCAUAUGUGUGUGUAUUUAACAUAUUAUUUUCAGACAUUUGAUCAGUUUCUUUUAAUUUUCCACAGGGAAUUGUAGCCCUUACAGGAAGAACCAGGGCCUGAAGAAAAGAAAAUUGGAUUCCCAUUAACUGGGGCCUGGAACCCUUAAGAUACUGGGCCAUAUAAGGACCUAGGAAUACCAGAAGGAGGCCAUGCAGAAGAGCACUUUACCCCUUCAUGGCCCUGAGGUUGGAAUUAGAACCAGACCACUUGAUAGCUUAAGAACCAAGUCAACCCUUAAGUUCAACUUUAACCAGACAGUACUCUCUCCAUCUGAUGCCUUCUCUGGUCUUACUCUGGAAUAAUAAGUAAGGCUCCUGAAAGUAAUGAGCUUGGCUAGCAGAUAUGAUUACCUAUAAACAAGCUUCCUCUUCAUCCUUCAAACUUUUCUUUCUGCUACUUAAUACAUACCACUCCCUAGGACCUCAACCUAACUGCUCGAUAUAGUUAAAAUCACUUUCCCCCCUAUACUCCUGCCUCCAACCAACUUUCUCAACAUAACCCCUCCCACCCUCUUUCAAGACCUGCUUUGGGCAAAGUUUCCUGGUGGUUUAAAAGUACCCUUUGGUACUGGUUUGCCCGGUGGUAUACCUAAUUCGGGACCACAUGGACCUAAAGGUUCUUUCAACCUGUCCUCUGGCUGGGGUCUGCUGGGAAGAUGAUGCUAAACUGCAGAAGCAAUAGAAGUCCAAGGCACUAAAAUGUCCAGCAAGCAAUACUGGGAGAACAGACAAGUAUUCAAGUACAGUAAUUUUACAAUUUUACAUUCACAUUUAUUUAUCUAAUACAAUGGAAAUACAAAGGAAAAAGUUAAAGUGUCUCCAAUAAGUAUACGGAUAUAGCUAGCUUUUUUUGAACUUUUUUAACCCUCUAUAUUCCACUCUUAACUACUGUUGUCCAACAACAUUUAUAUAUCACAGUGUUUCCACAUCAAAACUGAUGGCAAAGUUACAUGUCCGCAGGGAACUUUAAAAAAAAAACAAUUUAAAUGGCUAAUGCUGCAGUCAAAGCUAUUAAU
rnacentral:lncRNA from 1 species